UACGGAGGGCGCAAGCGUUGUUCGGAAUUACUGGGCGUAAAGCGCGUGUAGGCGGCCAGGUAAGUCGGAUGUGAAAGCCCGGGGCCCAACCCCGGAACUGCACCCGAUACUGCCUGGCUGGAGUCCCGGAGAGGAUGGCGGAAUUUCCGGUGUAGAGGUGAAAUUCGUAGAUAUCGGAAGGAACACCAGUGGCGAAGGCGGCCAUCGGGACGGUGAUUGACGAUGAGACGCGAAAGCGUGGGGAGCAAACAGG
rnacentral:rRNA from 1 species